GGGCGAUUGGCGCAGUGGUAGCGCGCUUCGUUCACACCGAAGAGGUCACUGGUUCGAGCCCAGUAUCGCCCA
rnacentral:tRNA from 4 species